rnacentral:sRNA from 1 species
AGAUCCCGAGCCUCCUUCCCCACGGGAUGGACGCUAGAUCCCAGUCCCUUGGGAGGGCUCCCGUCCUUCUCUCAGAGCCUCCGCCCUCCACCCCCCUCUGAGGCACGCGGGCUGAAGAAAGUCCCUUCGUGGGCAACCCAGGGAAUAUCACAGGUGCCCGGGGACUCACGGGCACCCUUCGGUGUCAGCUCCAGGUUCAGGGAGAGCCCCCCGAGGUACACUGGCUUCGGGACGGACAGAUCCUGGAGCUCGCGGACAGCACCCAGACCCAGGUGCCCCUGGGUGAGGAUGAACAGGAUGACUGGAUAGUGGUCAGCCAGCUCAGAAUCACCUCCCUGCAGCUUUCCGACACGGGACAGUACCAGUGUUUGGUGUUUCUGGGACAUCAGACCUUCGUGUCCCAGCCUGGCUACGUUGGGCUGGAGGGCUUGCCUUACUUCCUGGAGGAGCCCGAGGACAGGACUGUGGCCGCCAACACCCCCUUCAAUCUGAGCUGCCAAGCCCAGGGACCCCCAGAGCCCGUGGACCUACUCUGGCUCCUGG